ACUCCUACGGGAGGCAGCAGUGGGGAAUAUUGGACAAUGGGCGCAAGCCUGAUCCAGUCAUGCCGCGUGAGUGAUGAAGGCCCUAGGGUUGUAAAGCUCUUUCACCGGUGAAGAUAAUGACGGUAACCGGAGAAGAAGCCCCGGCUAACUUCGUGCCAGCAGCCGCGGUAAUACGAAGGGGGCUAGCGUUGUUCGGAUUUACUGGGCGUAAAGCGCACGUAGGCGGACUAUUAAGUCAGGGGUGAAAUCCCGGGGCUCAACCCCGGAACUGCCUUUGAUACUGGUAGUCUUGAGUUCGAGAGAGGUGAGUGGAAUUCCGAGUGUAGAGGUGAAAUUCGUAGAUAUUCGGAGGAACACCAGUGGCGAAGGCGGCUCACUGGCUCGAUACUGACGCUGAGGUGCGAAAGCGUGGGGAGCAAACAGGAUUAGAAACCCCGGUAGUCCC
rnacentral:rRNA from 1 species